CCACCUGCAAGAAUUUCAGUUGAAUGUGUCAACCCCUGUACUUAUCUUUUCAAGCCUGGCACUAUUCUAUCGGUCUCUUUCGCCGAAUUGCUAAGUUAC